GAUGAACGCUGGCGGCGUGCCUAAUACAUGCAAGUCGAGCGAACGGACGAGAAGCUUGCUUCUCUGAUGUUAGCGGCGGACGGGUGAGUGACACGUGGAUAACCUACCUAUAAGAAUGGGAUAACUUCGGGAAACCGGAGCUAAUACCGGAUAAUAUUUUGAACGGCAUGGUUCAAAAGUGAAAGACGGUCUUGCUGUCACUUAUAGAUGGAUCCGCGCUGCAUUAGCUAGUUGGUAAGGUAACGGCUUACCAAGGCAACGAUGCAUAGCCGACCUGAGAGGGUGAUCGGCCACCCUGGAACUGAGACACGGUCCAGACUCCUACGGGAGGCAGCAGUAGGGACUCUUACGCGAUGGGCGAAAGCCUGACAGAGCAACGCCGCGUGAGUGAUGAAGGUCUUCGGAUCGUAAAACUCUGUUAUUAGGGAAGAACAUAUGUGUAAGUAACUGUGCACAUCUUGACGGUACCUAAUCAGAAAGCCACGGCUAACUACGUG
rnacentral:rRNA from 1 species